UUUUAAAACAUUAUUUAAAGACCAUAAUUUUAAAUUUAACCUGCUCAAUGUAUUAUAAAUAAAUAGCCGCAGAAAUUUAACUGUGCCAAGGUAGCAUAAUCACUUGUCUAUUAAUUAUAGAAUAGAAUGAAAGGUGAAACUUAUGUAUUCUUUUUUAAAUAUUCUAAUAAAAUUUAUACUAAAUAUAAAAAUAUAUUUAUAAAAUAAUAAGACGACAAGACCCUGUCGAACUUAACUUAAGUUUAACUGGGAAAGUUAAUUAAUUAAAAUUUUAAUAUUGAUAUAUCUCACAAAGACCCAACNAAAAUUGACCAAAUGAUCAAGUUACCGCAGGGAUAACAGCGUAAUAAAUUUUUUAAGCUCUUAUUUAAAAAAAAGAUUGCGACCNUCGAUGUUGAAUUAACUANCCUUAUAUANAGAAAAAAAAUAUUAANGGGGGUCUGUUCCGACCCUUUAAAAUUUUACA
rnacentral:rRNA from 1 species